UACGGAGGGUGCAGGCGUUGUUCGGAAUCACUGGGCGUAAAGCGCGUGUAGGCGGCUAUCUAAGUCUGAUGUGAAAGCCCUGGGCUCAACUCAGGAAGUGCAUUGGAUACUGGAUAGCUGGAGUACCGGAGAGGAGGGUGGAAUUCCUGGUGUAGCGGUGAAAUGCGUAGAUAUCAGGAGGAAUACCGGUGGCGAAAGCGACUCUCUGGACGGCAACUGACGCUGAGGCACGAAAGCGUGGGGAGCAAACAGG
rnacentral:rRNA from 1 species